rnacentral:hammerhead_ribozyme from 1 species
AUCCAGCUGACGAGUCUUAAAUGAGACGAAACAUGCGCCCUGGAU